GUGUGUGUCUUAUCAGGUGAGUUGCUUUUUCAUUUUGAGAUUUUUUUUGAGUGACUUUGUAGGAAGUCACAGUGAAGAGGAAUUUGAGUGUCAAAUUCCUGAAAGAUUAGAGACAGAAUUACAGAAUUGGUUUCUUUUUUUAACCAAUUUCAGUAUGGCAAUAAUAAACACAAGUCAUUUAUUUUCCCAUUUCUUGCUCAAUAAAAAGUUUCUAGUUUCUCUCAACCAGAGCGCUGACAAUGGCAAGUUUACACUGGGAGACACUUUUGGGUUGUGGACUUGUUAUCCAUUGUCGGUCUGCUUUUAAUGAUAAGGUUGAACCCAGGGCUUUUGCUAGGCUAGGCAAGCACUCUAAGCUGGGCUGGGCUGGGCUGGGCUGAGCUUUCAUCCCCAGCACCUGGUGCUACACUGAUCUUACAGAUUACAGCUGUUGUCUCAUUGCUUGUCUUCCCUCCAGAUGUGAGCCCAGGGAUCGGGACUAAGUUGGUUUCUGGAAACUUAUUUAACCCACUAGGCCUGGAUAAGUAGAUUUUUGUUCCUUUGCCUCUUCAGGCAGAUCUCUUAUUUUGAAUGUGAAAAAUGGCACAAACAGGACACAAACAGCCAACCCUACCUCAAUGCAGACUGCUCUCUCCUCACCAACCUGAAGCCUUACCCCUGGGCAACUGUUACACCUCCAAAACCUUCAUCCAAAAGCACCCGAACUGAAGGAUGAUCUGCAACCAAACCUCUAAGCCACUUAUGGUACCUCAUACAAGUGGAAGCUGCAGGAUUUGCCUUGAGCACUGGGAGUGUUUCGUUUAGCACAGUACCUUCUACACUGUCAACGUGGCACCCUGAAGAAGAUUUAAUCUUACACGAAGACACAUUUUCUUCCACCACUCACCUGUCAAUGGACAAACAGGUUGUCUCCUAAGUUGGUUAGUGUGAACACUGCUGCCAUGAAAAUGAACACACAGCUACCUGUCUGAGGUCAUGAUUUCAAUUCUUUGGAAUAAAUACCAAGAAGUAGGA